rnacentral:rRNA from 1 species
CCUACGGGAGGCAGCAGUAGGGAAUCUUCCGCAAUGGGCGAAAGCCUGACGGAGCAACGCCGCGUGAGUGAAGAAGGAUUUCGGUUCGUAAAGCUCUGUUGUUAGGGAAGAAUGGAUAUGUAGUAACUAUACAUAUAAGAGACGGUACCUAACCAGAAAGCCACGGCUAACUACGUGCCAGCAGCCGCGGUAAUACGUAGGUGGCAAGCGUUGUCCGGAAUUAUUGGGCGUAAAGCGCGCGCAGGUGGUUUAAUAAGUCUGAUGUGAAAGCCCACGGCUCAACCGUGGAGGGUCAUUGGAAACUGUUAAACUUGAGUGCAGGAGAGAAAAGUGGAAUUCCUAGUGUAGCGGUGAAAUGCGUAGAGAUUAGGAGGAACACCAGUGGCGAAGGCGGCUUUUUGGCCUGUAACUGACACUGAGGCGCGAAAGCGUGGGGAGCAAACAGGAUUAGAUACCCCAGUAGUC